UUCCAUUGAUUAUUCAAUUGAAUAUACCCGAACUUAAGAUCUGAAAAAGUUUCAAACGACUUUUCGAAAAGGAGGGGGGAAAAAACUCUUUUUGACAGAGAUCUUUCACUUUUGGCAUGGAAAACAACCCCAACACCAACACGCCGCAGUUCGACUUUCAAUAUUAUGCAGAAGAGAAAGAAACCAUUCAAACCGAAGGCAUGUGAACAGGGUUGAGCUCCGCCAAUCUUUGUUUUUACUCUUUGGCCAACACCACCACGCGCAGCCCAGGGGCUCGUGGUUUCCACAUUCCUUGUAAGCUAGGCAAGGCAAAAUUGGUGUGCUUUGCUAUGCUUUGCUUUGCUGUUGAAUUUUGAUUGAUUGUCAAGCAAAAUUGAAUGAUUUUAAUUAAAAAUUGAUGUUUAAUUCAUGUAAUUUCUUAAAAAAUAAAUUGAGAUUUAAAUUAUAACAUUUUAUAUUUUUUUAAUAUUUAAAUUACGAC
rnacentral:lncRNA from 1 species